UGUGUUUUCGCAGUGGUGCCUUUUGGACUUAACAUUCCGCUUCUCCAAGAUUUUUUUCAGUGUUCGUAUGACCCUUUCCCAAUAACCGUCUCUUUUCAUGGGCACAAAUGCCUCCCAUUUUUCAGCCAUGAUCGGCCAAUCCUUACCUUUUUGCUCGGAGGCGGAGAGUGCAACCGCUUGUGGCCCUCUGCUUAGCCUUCACAGUGCAGAGCUCACGGCCUCCUUGGUCCGGUUGCACAGCCCUCUCCCCCGAACAUCGUAUUAUCUCCUCGCCCUGGCGGAUCCUUCCGCGCAUGGUCUGACUAUCUCAAUCUAAUCGUCGAAUUGCCCCCUCCUCACUCGUGCUCUUUCAGAUGACUGCUGCCUCCCGGUUGUACGCCCCCCUUUCACUCUGUAAAUCUCCUUUUGCUCGGGGGCUUCCAGUUCCAAGCCAGAACAUUGGUAGAAUGCUUGAUUUCAUGCGCUGUAAGUCACAAGCAACACCUCCUACAAAUCUUCAAGCCGCUGAUGAUGCACUCAUCCUUUGGUUUACCGUAGGUCCACCGCAAUUUAAUGCCCGAUGGUUUAAUAUUCUUUGGAUCAAUGUCCGUUUCGCUUCUACUAAUCAGCCCAUAAUCAAGUUCGCCAAUGCUUGGUCCUGCUUUAAUCACACCUGUGUUCGGCUUAGUUAAUUGGACGCACGAGGAGUUUAAUUAAGUUUCUCUUAUUUGAACUAUUGGCUGCAGUUGUUGUUCCUUUACCUGAUUGCUAUCACGCUAGAAAAUUUGAAUAUUUGCAGAUAUUAGUUUGGCCUUGCAGUCGUUAAGCACAUAUAAUCAGCCUCUCUUGUUCUUAUGCCCGCCGCAUGCUCGAUUGAAUGUCCUUUCCAAUUCCAAGGAUACUCAGGUGACCUCGUUCACUGUUGAAUCGGGCGCGUGUAUGAUGCUUCUGGAAAACUAUGGGUACCCUUUUAGUGAAAAUUCUCUCCCACAAUUAUCUUAGAAAAGAUAAAAAUGAUUCUGUCAUGUACAUCAUUCAUGUUUGAACUUUUGCUUGUGAUAUCGCUUGCCUGGUGCAUUUCGCUCAUUUGAACUUCCCGUUGUAUGGCAUAAAGAGAAGGAUGACUGGGACUUUGAUUGUCCUUCAGCUUAUUGUGCUGGUCUUUUUGUUUAA